rnacentral:sRNA from 1 species
AUGGCUGUCGUCAGCUCGUGUCGUGAGAUGUUGGGUUAAGUCCCGCAACGAGCGCAACCCUUACUUUUAGUUGCUACCAUUUAGUUGGGCACUCUAAAAGAACUGCCAGUGAUAAGCUGGAGGAAGGUGGGGAUGACGUCAAGUCCUCAUGGCCCUUACGUGUUGGGCUACACACGUGCUACAAUGGUACUUACAAUGGGAUGCAAAGAGGCGACUCUAAGCGAAACCCAAAAAGGUACCUCAGUUCGGAUUGCACUCUGCAACUCGAGUGCAUGAAGCUGGAAUUACUAGUAAUCGCGGAUCAGCGCGCCGCGGUGAAUACGUUCCCGGGUCUUGUACACACCGCCCGUCACACCAUGGGAGUUGGUUCUACCUUAAGGCAAAGCUUAAAACCUUUGACCACGGUAUAGUCAGCGACUGGGGUGAAGUCGUAACAAGGUAGCCGUAGGGGAACCUGCGGCUGGAUUACCUCCUUUCUAAGGAUGAUUGAAAGUAAAAUUUCAAUCUAAAUAAUAUACAGGUUAAUGUUGACCGUCCUCAUUUCUCUUCUUAAAAUAGUGUUUCUCUUCUGCAUGGGGGCCGGUAGCUCAGUUGGUUAGAGCACACCCUUGAUAAGGGUGGGGUCGAUAGUUCGAGUCUAUCUCGGCCCACCAAAUUUUAUCUGGGGGAUUAGCUCAGCUGGGAGAGCGCCUGAUUUGCAUUCAGGAGGCCAGCGGUUCGAUCCCGCUAUCCUCCACCAAAAAUUGAGACAUUUAGCUUUUUUAAAUUGUGAAUAUUAUUAUCAAUAUCUAUAUCCGAUUGUUUUCGGAAAUUAUUACUGAAAACAAUCAAAACAAAAAUUUAAUUUAUUACAGAAAAAAUUUUUUUCUGUGCAUAAAUCAAGCGUUUAAGGGCGAUUGGCGGAUGCCUUGGCACUGUAAGACGAUGAAGGACGUGGUAUACUGCGAUAAGUUUCGGGGAGCUGUAUGCAGGCUUUGAUCCGAAAAUUUCCGAAUGGGGAAACCCGG